AAAGAUUUAUCGCUUGAGGAGGGGCUUGCGGCCGAUUAGCUAGUUGGUGGGGUAACGGCUCACCAAGGCCACUAUCGGUAGCUGGACUGAGAGGUUGACCAGCCACACUGGGACUGAGACACGGGCCAGACUUCUACGGAAGGCAGCAGUAAGGAAUCUUCCACAAUGGGGGCGACCCUGAUUGAGCGACACCGCGUGCAGGAUGAAGGCCCUCGGGUCGUAAACUGCUUUUUUAUGCGAAGAAACUUUGGACGGUAGCAUAAGAAUAAGCGUCGGCUAACUACGUGCCAACAGCCGCGGUAAUACGUAGGACGCAAGCGUUAUCCGGAUUUACGGGGUUUAAAGCGUGCGCAGGUUGCAAGAUAAGUCUUUGAUUAAAGACUGGAGCUCAACUUCAGGAAUGUCAUCGAUACUGUUUUGCUCGAGUCUUAUCGGGGAAGGCGGAAUUCCCGGUGUAGGAGUAAAAUCCGUUGAGAUCGGGAGGAACACCAGUGGCGAAAGCGGCCUUCUAGAUAAGUACUGACACUCAUGCACGAAAGCCAGGGUAGCGAAAGGGAUUAGAUACCCCUGUAGUCCUGGCCCUAAACGAUGGAUGUUAGACGUUAGAGGUAUCGACCCCUUUAGUGUCGCAGGGAAACCGUUAAACAUCCCACCUGGGGAGUACGGUCGCAAGAUUAAAACUCAAAGGAAUUGACGGGGACCCGCACAAGCAGCGGAGCGUGUGGCUUAAUACGAUGCAACGCGUAGAACCUUACCAGGACUUGACAUCCGACUAAAGCUUAUGAAAGCAAGUGUGUUCUUUUGAACGAGUCGUGACAGGUGUUGCAUGGCUGUCGUCAGCUCGUGCCGUGAGGUGUAGGGUUAAGUCCCGUAACGAGCGCAACCCUCGUCGCAUGUUGCACUUUCAUGCGAGACCGCCAGGGAUAACCUGGAGGAAGGUGGGGAUGACGUCAAGUCAGUACGGCCCUUAUGUCCUGGGCUGCACACACGCUACAAUGGCCGGUACAAUGGGUCUUGCUAAGCCGCGAGGCAGUGCUAAUCCCAUCAAAACCGGUCUCAGUUCGGAUUGAAGUCUGCAAUUCGACUUCAUGAAGCCGGAGUUGCUAGUAAACGCAGGUCAGCAACACUGCGUUGAAUAUGUUCCCGGGUCUUGUACACACCGCCCGUCACACCACGAAAGUCGGUAAUGCCCGAAGUGACUGUGCUAACCUUUUGGAGGCAGGUCCCUAAGGUAGGACUGAUGAUUGGGGUGAAGUCG
rnacentral:rRNA from 1 species